rnacentral:rRNA from 1 species
CUCUCAAUUGUUUUAUGCUUGCAUAAAUGAUUUUUGGAUUCGGAGCGAGUGGCGAACUGGUGAGUAACACGUGGGUAACCUGCCCCGAAGCGGGGGAUAACAUUUGGAAACAAGUGCUAAUACCGCAUAAUUAGUUGGAACCGCAUGGUUCCAACUUGAAAGAUGGCUCUGCUAUCACUUUGGGAUGGACCCGCGCCGUAUUAGUUAGUUGGUGAGAUAAAAGCCCACCAAGACGAUGAUACGUAGCCGACCUGAGAGGGUAAUCGGCCACAUUGGGACUGAGACACGGCCCAGACUCCUACGGGAGGCAGCAGUAGGGAAUCUUCCACAAUGGACGAAAGUCUGAUGGAGCAACGCCGCGUGAGUGAUGAAGGUUUUCGGAUCGUAAAACUCUGUUGUUAAAGAAGAACAAGUGUUAGAGUAACUGUUAACACUUUGACGGUAUUUAACCAGAAAGCCACGGCUAACUACGUGCCAGCAGCCGCGGUAAUACGUAGGUGGCAAGCGUUGUCCGGAUUUAUUGGGCGUAAAGCGAGCGCAGGCGGUUUUGUAAGUCUGCUGUGAAAGCCCUCAGCUCAACUGAGGAAGUGCAGUGGAAACUACAAAACUUGAGUACAGAAGAGGAAAGUGGAACUCCAUGUGUAGCGGUGAAAUGCGUAGAUAUAUGGAAGAACACCAGUGGCGAAGGCGGCUUUCUGGUCUGUUACUGACGCUGAGGCUCGAAAGCAUGGGUAGCGAACAGGAUUAGAUACCCUGGUAGUCCAUGCCGUAAACGAUGAAUACUAGGUGUUGGAAGGGGUUUCCGCCCUUCAGUGCCGCAGCUAACGCAUUAAGUAUUCCGCCUGGGGGAGUACGACCGCAAAGGUUGAAACUCAAAGGAAUUGACGGGGGCCCGCACAAGUGGUGGAGCAUGGUGGGUUUAAUUCGAUGCUACGCGAAGAACCUUACCAGCUCUUGACAUCUUUCUGCCAACCCAAGAGAUUUGGGGCGUUUCCCUUUCGGGGACAGAUGACAGGUGGGUGCAAUGGUUUGUCGUCAGCUCGUGUCGUGGAGAUGGU